GAUGAACGCUAGCGGCAGGCUUAAUACAUGCAAGUCGAGGGACAGCACAGGUAGCAAUACUGGGUGGUAACCGGCAAACGGGUGCGGAACACGUACACAACCUUCCUUUAAGUGGGGGAUAGCCCAGAGAAAUUUGGAUUAAUACCCCGUAAUAUAGUUGAAUGGCAUCGUUUGAUUAUUAUAGCUACGGCGCUUAAUGAUGGGUUUUCGGCUGAUUAGCUAGUUGGCGGGGUAACGGCCCACCAAGUCUACGAUCAGUAGCUGAUGUGAGAGCAUGAUCAGCCACACGGGCACUGAGACACGGGCCCGACUCCUACGGGAGGCAGCAGUAAGGAAUAUUGGUCAAUGGACGCAAGUCUGAACCAGCCAUGCCGCGUGAAGGAUUAAGGUCCUCUGGAUUGUAAACUUCUUUUAUUUGGGACGAAAAAGGGCCUUUCUAGGUCAACUGACGGUACCAGAUGAAUAAGCACCGGCUAACUCCGUGCCAGCCGCCGCAGUAACAC
rnacentral:rRNA from 1 species